rnacentral:snoRNA from 1 species
GGACCAUGAUGAGGACAAUACCGAAGUAAUUUUUUAUAUCUUUCCCAGGCCUCGUAUAAGAUUCAAAACCUUGCUGCAUGAAUGAUGUUAUAUCAUUCCUCAUUUU